rnacentral:miRNA from 1 species
UUGUGCUUCCCCUUGCCAG